AGGGUAGGUAGAAAGAGCAUUUCAUGAAGAAUGGUUCCUCUGUUCAUAACACACUCAAAAGGAAUCUGGGGUCAUUGUGAUGAGGGGCACAAAACUUGUGGCCUCCCUAUGAACAAAUUUCCCACAUGA